rnacentral:rRNA from 1 species
UAUCUCUGUAGAGUCUGCAUAUCAAUAAGCGGAGGAAAAGAAACUAACUAGGAUUCCCUUAGUAACGGCGAGUGAAGCGGGAAGAGCUCAAAUUUGAAAUCUUCAAGGUUUUACCUUGACGAACUGUAGUUCUAAAGAAGUGUUUUCUGUUGGUGUUUUGGUAAAAGUUCUUUGGAAUAGGACAUCAUAGAGGGUGAGAAUCCCGUAUUUGACCAUUACUUCCAGCGUUGUGAUACACUUUCAAAGAGUCGGAUUGUUUGGGAAUGCAGUCCAAAAUGGGUGGUAAAUUUCAUCUAAAGCUAAAUAUUGGCGAGAGACCGAUAGCGAACAAGUACCGUGAGGGAAAGAUGAAAAGAACUUUGAAAAGAGAGUUAAACAGUACGUGAAAUUGUCAAAAGGGAAGCGUUUGACACCAGUGUUGUUUUCUCGAAAAUCAAUUAAAAAAAGUUGGAUUUUGUAUUGUUAAGACCUUAUCAGCUUACUGUACUCUUUUCUUGCUUUUUUUAAUGCACUUUUCGUUUAACAAGUCAACAUCAAUUUCUUUUGUUGUAAAAGAGUCAUUGGAAGGUGGCUUUCACUUCGGUGAAAGUGUUUAUAGCCUUUGGCUUCUGCAAUCGGAGAGAUUGAGGUCUGCAGCGUAGAUCCUUCGGGGCUAGAUACGUAGAUGCUAAGUUAUAGUUUUUUAUAGACAACUUGUUGACUAUAAUUAAUCAUGUAGCUUACUCGUUUGCGCUAUUUUACCUACGCUUAGGAUGUUGACGAGACUGUCGAUCUC